CAGUUGAUUUUGAGAAAGAAAAUACGGAGGCUGCUAUCAAAAAUGAGAUCGAUGAAAAGUUAAAAUGGAAAGCAUCGAAAUACAUCGAAUUACGAUAUAAACCAUUGAAAGAAGCAAAGUUUCGAAUGCUGUCUAAAAUUAUAGCGCAAAGAACCGAGGGUAGUUUUGGAACAUUGACAAUGUUCUGCCUUAAGAAUGAUAUGUACUAUGCCUUGACCUGUGCUCAUGCGGGUGUUGUCAAUAAUUUGGAUGACCGUCAACAAGACUUUUGUGGCAGAGUCCAAUUUAUGGAAAUCCAAGAAUCUCUAAAUGCCACAGUUAAUGAAGAAAGCAUGAAAUACUUUUACAACGGACAACCGACUGUCCAUGUUCCGGAUCAAACGAGAGUGGUGUCUAAUAAAGAAGUCGAUAUUAUGUAUAUCGUCAUUGGUAAGGAGGAAGAUUUUCAGGAGCUUGCUGUAAAUAAUCAGAUGACUCUCAAUUUAGAUUUGGAUAUGCAGUGCCAUACAGGCCCUCACCACCUGCAUUGCAUGUGAAACAUCCAACUCCAAUGUUCUCAAAAGACAUCUGAAUCGACUACACAUCAAUCCAAAUGCAUUUUCGACAAUUCUUUGUGCUCGUGAAAGUCUAUAGUUAAAAACUUUCUCAUCACCUAUUGCAGUCUGGUGUGGAUAUGGCUUCAUUAGAUUUUCAUUCAAAGCAAAUGCCUCAUCUCCAAGCAGAAAGUAAGGGAAUUUCAUUGGUAGACGACCGUCGUCAUGGAUUUACCUGCAAACGUUUAUACAUAAAUCUUGACACUCGCUAAGUUAUAUCAUUUGGCAGGAAGGCGUGUUACAGCAAAGACAAAUUUAAAAACUGUAAAACUACAUGUGUGGUGUCUCAAACAUGAUGAGUAUUGCGUCUACAUCAGGACCUACUUCUUACGAAAAGAUGUCUUUGCCAUCUCCCAUGAGUGACAACGACUAUGACAACAUUGACAAAACUCCUUCUACAGCAGUACUUGAUGAUAAUAACAGUGAAGACAUGAUUGGUGUUUCGCCUUCCACAUCAAAACCAGAAUUCACGAUUCCACCACAAUGGUGAAUCCAGUGUUGGGCAGUAAAUCACAGCACCUCACUUUUGGAUUGUUUUAAAAUUUGAAACUAUUUACUUGUAAUUAGAUUAGCAGGACAUAACUGAUUCUUUUGAAAUAUACUUAUGAUCAAUUACAUUGUUAUAAAAAAUGUUA